CCAGCACCCCGAGUGGUCGGGACGAUUAUUGGGCCUAAAGCAUCCGUAGCCGGUUUUACAAGUCCUCCGUUAAAUCCAACUGCUUAACAGAUGGGCCGCGGAGGAUACUAUAAGACUAGGAGGCAGGAGAGGCAAGCGGUACUCAGUGGGUAGGGGUAAAAUCCGUUGAUCCAUUGAAGACCACCAGUGGCGAAGGCGGCUUGCCAGAAUGCGCUCGACGGUGAGGGAUGAAAGCUGGGGGAGCAAACCGGAUUAGAUACCCGGGUAGUCCCAGCUGUAAACGAUGCAGACUCGGUGAUGGACUAGCUUCAUGCUAGUCCAGUGCCGCAGGGAAGCCGUUAAGUCUGCCACCUGGGUAGUACGGUCGCAAGACUG
rnacentral:rRNA from 1 species